rnacentral:rRNA from 1 species
UUGAAAGGGAAACGAUUGAAGUCAGUCGUACCUGCGGAUAAUCAGCCUUUAGGAUGCGAUUUUGUGGAGCGUGAGGAGCUAAUCGCCUUCAUGCCUGUAUAUUCGUGUACUUGGGGUGUACUUAUUCGUGUGGUAAGUUAACAUCAAUUUUGGUCGUCAUAAAAUGACUGGAGGAAUGUAGCUUCGAUCUCGUAUUGAAGUGUUAUAGCCUUUGGUAGAUGUGAUUAUCGGGAUUGAGGAUUGCAACGGAUACCCUUCGGGGCUACUUGUCUGAUCUCUGAUCGUUGCUCUGGUGCCGAAAGCGUGCUUACGGUUGUCAAAGUCGAUGGUUAAUAGGUUAGAACGGGUUAAAUUCGUUAAGGAUGUUGACGUA